GGGGAAUAUUGCACAAUGGGCGCAAGCCUGAUGCAGCGACGCCGCGUGAGGGAUGACGGCCUUCGGGUUGUAAACCUCUGUUAGCAGGGAAGAAGAGAGAUUGACGGUACCUGCAGAGAAAGCGCCGGCUAACUACGUGCCAGCAGCCGCGGUAAUACGUAGGGCGCGAGCGUUGUCCGGAAUUAUUGGGCGUAAAGAGCUUGUAGGCGGUUUGUCGCGUCUGCUGUGAAAGGCCGGGGCUUAACUCCGUGUAUUGCAGUGGGUACGGGCAGACUAGAGUGCAGUAGGGGAGACUGGAAUUCCUGGUGUAGCGGUGGAAUGCGCAGAUAUCAGGAGGAACACCGAUGGCGAAGGCAGGUCUCUGGGCUGUAACUGACGCUGAGAAGCGAAAGCAUGGGGAGCGAACAGGAUUAGAUACCCUGGUAGUCCAUGCCGUAAACGUUGGGCACUAGGUGUGGGGGACAUUCCACGUUUUCCGCGCCGUAGCUAACGCAUUAAGUGCCCCGCCUGGGGAGUACGGCCGCAAGGCUAAAACUCAAAGAAAUUGACGGGGGCCCGCACAAGCGGCGGAGCAUGCGGAUUAAUUCGAUGCAACGCGAAGAACCUUACCAAGGCUUGACAUAUACUGGACCGCAUCAGAGAUGGUGUUUCCCUUCGGGGCUGGUAUACAGGUGGUGCAUGGUUGUCGUCAGCUCGUGUCGUGAGAUGUUGGGUUAAGUCCCGCAACGAGCGCAACCCUUACUGUCAGUUACUACGCAAGAGGACUCUGGCAGGACUGCCGUUGACAAAACGGAGGAAGGUGGGGAUGACGUCAAAUCAUCAUGCCCUUUAUGACUUGGGCUACACACGUACUACAAUGGCGUUAAACAAAGAGAAGCAAGACCGCGAGGUGGAGCAAAACUCAGAAACAACGUCCCAGUUCGGACUGCAGGCUGCAACUCGACUGCACGAAGCUGGAAUCGCUAGUAAUCGCGAAUCAGAAUGUCGCGGUGAAUACGUUCCCG
rnacentral:rRNA from 1 species